rnacentral:rRNA from 1 species
UACGUAGGGGGCGAGCGUUGUCCGGAUUUAUUGGGCGUAAAGAGCUCGUAGGCGGCUUGGCAAGUCGGGUGUGAAACCUCCAGGCUCAACCUGGAGACGCCACUCGAUACUGCCAUGGCUAGAGUCCGGUAGGGGACCACGGAAUUCCUGGUGUAGCGGUGAAAUGCGCAGAUAUCAGGAGGAACGCCGGUGGCGAAGGCGGUGGUCUGGGCCGGCACUGACGCUGAGGAGCGAAAGCGUGGGUAGCAAACAGG